rnacentral:lncRNA from 1 species
AUUUUAUAGCAUUAGUUUUCACAUAAGUAAAUAUUUAAGUUUAACUAAGUAAAAUAGACUUUUCAAUGUAAAAUUUGAAAAAAAAAAAUUUAUUUUAAAACAAUUCUAAAUUAAUUAAUUAAUAAAUUUUGCUUAUCCUAUGUAUCAUUAAAAGAAGCUAUCCCUUAAUCAUAAGGUCAAAUGAUUGAUUCCCACUCAUAAGAAUAGUUAUAUUUCUUAACCAACCGUUUAUCUAUUUAGAGAAUAUCACAAUCAACACCUUAAUUUUG